rnacentral:snRNA from 1 species
UGAGGGCCUCCUGGCUGAUUCUGUUACCCCACUAAUCACCAGGGUUGAUUUGGCUGAUGUGGCUGGCGAGGCAGGUUUCCCGUUCCUCUCUCA